AGGAUAAAAUAUAUUGCUUCACAAUCCUUGGGGGGAAAUAAAAAGUCAGAUGACUUGUUGCAGGAUGUCUGAGCAAGUGGGAAGAUGCCAUCAAGACAGAAGUUUCAUAAAAGAAUGAGAAUGAUAUUUGAACAGACUGAAAUUAUCAUUUGUGAAGCAGCUGCAAAAGGCAUAGAUGCCAACAGGCGUGGACUGAACUCUUGCAUCACUCCAAAAAGGAAAGAAAUGUCAACUGGAAAGCAAACAAAUGCCUACACUGUGUGCCCAUGUAAAGAAAAAAAAAACAAAACCAAGCACUCUUAGUGGGAGAGAUUUCGCAAACUUGUACAUUCUUAAAACUGUGAUUUAAUAAAAUGUUAGCAAGACCA